UAGGGAAUCUUCGGCAAUGGGGGCAACCCUGACCGAGCAACGCCGCGUGAGUGAAGAAGGUUUUCGGAUCGUAAAGCUCUGUUGUAAGUCAAGAACGAGUGUGAGAGUGGAAAGUUCACACUGUGACGGUAGCUUACCAGAAAGGGACGGCUAACUACGUGCCAGCAGCCGCGGUAAUACGUAGGUCCCGAGCGUUGUCCGGAUUUAUUGGGCGUAAAGCGAGCGCAGGCGGUUUGAUAAGUCUGAAGUUAAAGGCUGUGGCUCAACCAUAGUUCGCUUUGGAAACUGUCAAACUUGAGUGCAGAAGGGGAGAGUGGAAUUCCAUGUGUAGCGGUGAAAUGUGUAGAUAUAUGGAGGAACACCGGUGGCGAAAGCGGCUCUCUGGUCUGUAACUGACGCUGAGGCUCGAAAGCGUGGGGAGCGAACAGGAUUAGAUACCCUGGUAGUCCACGCCGUANCGAUGAGUGCUAGGUGUUGGAUCCUUUCCGGGAUUCAGUGNCGCANCUAACGCAUUAANCACUCCGCCUGGGGAGUACNACCGCAAGGUUG
rnacentral:rRNA from 1 species